UACGGGGGGUGCGAGCGUUGUCCGGAUUCACUGGGCGUAAAGGGCGCGUAGGCGGCUGGCUCAGUCGGGCCUGUAAGUGCGGGGCUCAACCCCGUGAUGGGCUCGGGACGGGCUGGCUGGGGCGCGGUCGAGGGAGACGGAAUGCCGGGUGUAGUGGUGAAAUGCGUAGAGAUCCGGCGGAACACCGGUGGUGAAGACGGUCUCCUGGGCCGAGGGCCGACGCUGAGGCGCGAGAGCGUGGGGAGCGAACCGG
rnacentral:rRNA from 1 species